CGACAAGCGCGUUGUCUGGUAACGAAGUGCCACAAGAGGAUCGUUCCUGGAGAGUGUUGGCAGCCUGGACAUCUGAUGUUCAUCAGCCUCAUCAGCGGACUGGGAAUUUGAGGAGCUACAGAACUUUCUCUCUCUACUGGCUGAUUUACCUUACUGGUAGUUUCUACUUGUUCUUGACUGGCGACUCCCACCCAUUGAGUACUGGAGACAGACACCGACUCCCCAUUGAUCCAGCCAGGAUGAACUGGAAUAGACAAUGGAUGUUCACUGUUAAAUGUGAUUAAAAUGAGCUGUUUCUUUUC